rnacentral:tRNA from 1 species
GGCUCCAUAGUGUAGUGGUUAUCACAUCUGUUUUAUACGCAGAAGUUCCUAGGUUCGCGCCCUAGGUGGAGCCA